rnacentral:rRNA from 1 species
GUUGUAUGGUUAAGUGACUAAGCGUACACGGUGGAUGCCUUGGCAGUCAGAGGCGAUGAAAGACGUAGUAACUUGCGAUAAGCCCAGAUUAGGUAGUAACAACCAUUUGAGUCUGGGAUUUCUGAAUGGGGAAACCCACGUGCAUAAGCACGUAUCCUUACCUGAAUACAUAGGGUAAGGAGGCGAACCGGGGGAACUGAAACAUCUAAGUACCCCGAGGAAAAGAAAUCAACCGAGAUUCCGAAAGUAGCGGCGAGCGAAAUUGGACUAGCCCUUAAGCUUUACACGCGUUAGACGAACGGUCUGGAAAGUCCGACGAUACAGGGUGAUAGUCCCGUAGUUGACGACGYGUGUUCAGUGAAAUCGAGUAGGGCGGGACACGUGAUAUCCUGUCUGAAUAUGGGGGGACCAUCCUCCAAGGCUAAAUACUACUGACUGACCGAUAGUGAACCAGUACCGUGAGGGAAAGGCGAAAAGAACCCCUGUGAGGGGAGUGAAAUAGAACCUGAAACCGUGUACGUACAAGCAGUAGGAGCAGGCUUUGUCCUGUGACUGCGUACCUUUUGUAUAAUGGGUCAGCGACUUAUAUUCAGUGGCAAGGUUAACCAUCUAGGGGAGCCGUAGGGAAACCGAGUCUUAACUGGGCGUUCAGUCUCUGGAUAUAGACCCGAAACCAGGUGAUCUAGCCAUGGGCAGGUUGAAGGUUGAGUAACAUCAACUGGAGGACCGAACCGACUAAUGUUGAAAAAUUAGCGGAUGACUUGUGGCUAGGGGUGAAAGGCCAAUCAAACCUGGAGAUAGCUGGUUCUCCCCGAAAGCUAUUUAGGUAGCGCCUCGGACGAAUACUACUGGGGGUAGAGCACUGUUAAGGCUAGGGGGUCAUCCCGACUUACCAACCCUUUGCAAACUCCGAAUACCAGUAAGUACUAUCCGGGAGACACACGGCGGGUGCUAACGUCCGUCGUGGAGAGGGAAACAACCCAGACCGCCAGCUAAGGUCCCAAAUUACUACUAAGUGGGAAACGAUGUGGGAAGGCUCAGACAGCCAGGAUGUUGGCUUAGAAGCAGCCAUCAUUUAAAGAAAGCGUAAUAGCUCACUGGUCGAGUCGGCCUGCGCGGAAGAUGUAACGGGGCUAAGUAGUAAACCGAAGCUGCGGCAAUAUACUUUUGUAUAUUGGGUAGGGGAGCGUUCUGUAAGCGGUUGAAGGUGUGUGGUAACGCAUGCUGGACGUAUCAGAAGUGCGAAUGCUGACAUGAGUAACGAUAAAGGGGGUGAAAAACCUCCUCGCCGGAAGACCAAGGGUUCCUGUCCAACGUUAAUCGGGGCAGGGUAAGUCGACCCCUAAGGCGAGGCCGAAAGGCGUAGUCGAUGGGAAACGGGUUAAUAUUUCCCGUACUUCUUACAAUUGCGAUGGGGGGACGGAGAAGGCUAGGUGGGCCUGGCGACGGUUGUCCAGGUUCAAGUGCGUAGGCUUAAGAGUUAGGUAAAUCCGGCUCUUUYUAAGGCUGAGACACGACGUCGAGCACCUACGGGUGUGAAGUCAUUGAUGCCAUGCUUCCAGGAAAAGCCUCUAAGCUUCAGAUUGUAAGGAAUCGUACCCCAAACCGACACAGGUGGUCGGGUAGAGAAUACCAAGGCGCUUGAGAGAACUCGGGUGAAGGAACUAGGCAAAAUGGUACCGUAACUUCGGGAGAAGGUACGCUCUCGACGGUGAAGUCCCUYGCGGAUGGAGCUAUUGAGAGUCGCAGAUACCAGGUGGCUGCAACUGUUUAUUAAAAACACAGCACUGUGCAAAAUCGUAAGAUGACGUAUACGGUGUGACGCCUGCCCGGUGCCGGAAGGUUAAUUGAUGGGGUUAGACUUCGGUCGAAGCUCUUGAUCGAAGCCCCGGUAAACGGCGGCCGUAACUAUAACGGUCCUAAGGUAGCGAAAUUCCUUGUCGGGUAAGUUCCGACCUGCACGAAUGGCGUAAUGAUGGCCACGCUGUCUCCACCCGAGACUCAGUGAAAUUGAAAUCGCUGUGAAGAUGCAGUGUACCCGCGGCUAGACGGAAAGACCCCGUGAACCUUUACUACAGCUUGGCACUGAACAUUGACCCUACAUGUGUAGGAUAGGUGGGAGGCUUUGAAGCASGUACGCCAGUAUGUGUGGAGYCGUCCUUGAAAUACCACCCUUGUAGUGUUGAUGUUCUAACGUCGACCCCUUAUCGGGGUUGCGGACAGUGCCUGGUGGGUAGUUUGACUGGGGCGGUCUCCUCCCAAAGAGUAACGGAGGAGCACGAAGGUGGGCUAAUCACGGUUGGACAUCGUGAGGUUAGUGCAAUGGCAUAAGCCCGCUUGACUGCGAGAAUGACAAUUCGAGCAGGUGCGAAAGCAGGUCAUAGUGAUCCGGUGGUUCUGAAUGGAAGGGCCAUCGCUCAACGGAUAAAAGGUACUCCGGGGAUAACAGGCUGAUACCGCCCAAGAGUUCAUAUCGACGGCGGUGUUUGGCCACCUCGAUGUCGGCUCAUCACAUCCUGGGGCUGAAGUCGGUCCCAAGGGUAUGGCUGUUCGCCAUUUAAAGUGGUACGCGAGCUGGGUUUAGAACGUCGUGAGACAGUUCGGUCCCUAUCUGCCGUGGGCGUUGGAAGAUUGAAGGGGGCUGCUCCUAGUACGAGAGGACCGGAGUGGACGAACCUCUGGUGUUCGGGUUGUGUCGCCAGACGCAUUGCCCGGUAGCUAAGUUCGGAAUCGAUAACCGCUGAAAGCAUCUAAGCGGGAAGCGAGCCCUGAGAUGAGUCUUCCCUGAUACUUUAAGUAUCCUAAAGGGUUGUCGGAGACUACGACGUUGAUAGGUCAGGUGUGUAAGUGCUGUGAGGCAUUGAGCUAACUGAUACUAAUUGCCCGUGAGGCUUAACCAUACAACACCCAAGGGGUUU